rnacentral:rRNA from 1 species
UACGGAGGGAGCUAGCGUUGUUCGGAAUUACUGGGCGUAAAGCGCGCGUAGGCGGCUUUGUAAGUUAGAGGUGAAAGCCCGGGGCUCAACCCCGGAAUAGCCUUUAAGACUGCAUCGCUAGAAUCCGGGAGAGGUGAGUGGAAUUCCGAGUGUAGAGGUGAAAUUCGUAGAUAUUCGGAAGAACACCAGUGGCGAAGGCGGCCAUCUGGACGGUAACUGACGCUGAGACGCGAAAGCGUGGGGAGCAAACAGG